UACGUAGGGUGCGAGCGUUGUCCGGAAUUAUUGGGCGUAAAGAGCUCGUAGGCGGCUUGUCGCGUCGGAUGUGAAAACUCCAGGCUCAACCUGGAGCCGCCAUUCGAUACUGCUAUGGCUAGAGUCCGGUAGGGGAGUGUGGAAUUCCCGGUGUAGCGGUGAAAUGCGCAGAUAUCGGGAGGAACACCGAUGGCGAAGGCAGCACUCUGGGCCGGUACUGACGCUGAGGAGCGAAAGCGUGGGGAGCGAACAGG
rnacentral:rRNA from 1 species